UACGAAGGGGGCUAGCGUUGUUCGGAAUUACUGGGCGUAAAGCGCGCGCAGGCGGUCUUCCAAGUCAGUGGUGAAAGCCUGGAGCUCAACUCCAGAACUGCCAUUGAAACUGUUAGACUUGAGUACGAGAGAGGUGAGUGGAAUUCCCAGUGUAGAGGUGAAAUUCGUAGAUAUUGGGAAAAACACCAGUGGCGAAGGCGGCUCACUGGCUCGUAACUGACGCUCAGGCGCGACAGCGUGGGGAUCAAACAGG
rnacentral:rRNA from 1 species